GGUUACCAGCAAAACAUUUAUAAGAGAAAGAAAACAAUGUGUAUAAUUUUUACGUGCUGUCACAAAGGCACAUAAAUGUACACACAAAAAGUUUGAUGUAACUUGGAAGAUCUUUCACAGUUUGCGGCAUUUAGAUUUCGAACAAACACGUGUCGCGAUUUGGAGAUACUUCCACGUGGAAUUAAGUUGAGCCACAAGCCAUCAUCACUCAACAAUCCUUUUUAGUAAUAAGUGUUAAGCACGACCCGUGAGAGAUACAUGUGACAUAUACAGACGAAAAAAUAAAAAGACCGAUCAAAGCUUUAAAUUUUGUUUCUCCUUCUAAUCAAAUGACUAAAUAACUUUUGGGAAUAAUGGCUUCGACCAUUUUUCUGUUUUUUUAAGUAGGACGACAUAUGUUUAUGUCGAAAUGGUCGAUUAUAGAUAUACAUUUGUCAAGACAAUAUAAUUAUACAUUUGAGAGGAAAUCGAUCACUUACUAGAGUUUAUACAAAGAAUCGAUUAGU